CCUACGGGAGACAGCAGUGGGGGAUAUUGCACAAUGGGGGAAACCCUGAUGCAGCGACGCCGCGUGGGUGAAGGAGUGCUUCGGCAUGUAAAGCCCUAUCGGCAGGGAAGAAGCAAGACGGUACCUGACUAAGAAGCCCCGGCUAACUACGUGCCAGCAGCCGCGGUACUACGGAGGGGGCGAGCGUUAUCCGGAUUCACUGGGGGUAAAGGGCGUGUAGAGGGCCAAGCAAGCCAGGGGUGAAAGCCCGGGGCCCAACCCCGGGACUGCCCUUGGAACUGCAUGGCUGGAGUGCGGGAGGGGCAGGCGGAAUGCCUGGUGUAGCGGUGAAAUGCGUAGAUAUCAGGAGGAACACCGGCGGCGAAGGCGGCCUGCUGGACCGCGACUGACGUUGAGGCUCGAAAGCGUGGGGAGCGAACAGGAUUAGAUACCCUAGUAGUC
rnacentral:rRNA from 1 species